rfam:Gossypium raimondii Chr02_contig_1440, whole genome shotgun sequence.
UAUUAAAAUUUUAUCAAUUUUUACUGUUAAAAAUUGACGUGAUUGACGGAAUAACUAAAUAGUUACACGUGCAUGUACCCUAUUCUAACAUACAUGAACUAAUUUUUAAUAAUAAAAGUGGAUGAAAAUUUUAACA